CAUGCAAGUCGAACGAGAAAGCCCUUCGGGGUGAGUAAAGUGGCGAACGGGUGAGUAACACGUGGGCAACCUGCCCCUCGCAGGGGGACAACCGGAGGAAACUCCGGCUAAUACCCCGUACGCUUGUUGGAUCGCAUGGUCCGGCAAGGAAAGGUAGCUUCGGCCAUCCGGCGAGGGAUGGGCCCGCGUUGCAUUAGCUAGUUGGUGGGGUAACGGCCUGCCAAGGCGACGAUGCGUAGCUGGUCUGAGAGGAUGAUCAGCCACACUGGGACUGAGACACGGCCCAGACUCCUACGGGAGGCAGCAGCCAGGAAUCUUGGGCAAUGGGCGAAAGCCUGACCCAGCAACACCGUGUGGGCGAUGAAGGCCUUAGGGUCGUAAAGCCCUGUUGAUAGGGACGAAGGGCGAAGGGUUAAUAGCCCCUAGCUUGACGGUACCUUUCGAGGAAGCCCCGGCUAACUACGUGCCAGCAGCCGCGGUAAUACGAAGGGGGCUAGCGUUGUUCGGAAUUACUGGGCGUAAAGCGCGCGUAGGCGGACAUUUAAGUCAGGGGUGAAAUCCCAGGGCUCAACCCUGGAACUGCCUUUGAUACUGAAUGUCUGGAGUUCGGGAGAGGUGAGUGGAAUUCCGAGUGUAGAGGUGAAAUUCGUAGAUAUUCGGAGGAACACCAGAAGCGAAG
rnacentral:rRNA from 1 species